AGAGUUUGAUCCUGGCUCAGAACGAACGCUGAUGGCGUGCCUCAUACAUGCAAGUCGAGCGCCCCGCAAGGGGAGCGGCGAACGGGUGAGUAACACGUGAACAAUCUGCCUCAAAGUGGGGGAUAACCAUUCCAACGGAUGGCUAAUACCGCAUAGGGUUCGGAGGGGGCAUCCCUUCCUUACGAAAGCUUCACGCGCUUUGAGAUGAGUUCGCGUCCCAUUAGCUAGUUGGCGGGGUAACGGCCCACCAAGGUAACGAUGGGUAGCCGGCCUGAGAGGGUGUCCGGCCACAUUGGGACUGAGAUACGGCCCAGACUCCUACGGGAGGCAGCAGUAGGGAAUUUUGCGCAAUGGGGGAAACCCUGACGCAGCAUCGCCAUGUGUGGGAUGAAGCAUUUCGGUGUGUAAACCACUGUCGGCAGGG
rnacentral:rRNA from 1 species